rnacentral:rRNA from 1 species
CACGUAGGGUGCGAGCGUUGUCCGGAAUUAUUGGGCGUAAAGAGCUCGUAGGCGGUGUGUCGCGUCGGCUGUGAAAACCUGGGGCUCAACCCCGGGCCUGCAGCCGAUACGGGCGGACUAGAAUUCGGUAGGGGAGACUGGAAUUCCUGGUGUAGCGGUGAAAUGCGCAGAUAUCAGGAGGAACACCGGUGGCGAAGGCGGGUCUCUGGGCCGAUAUUGACGCUGAGGAGCGAAAGCGUGGGGAGCGAACAGG